GGUUUGUGCAUCCAAUUUGCUAGUUAAAUCUUGUGUUAAGUGGAUUAAUGAAGAGGUUGCAUGUUUGAGCCUAAAAUGUUUGAAUCAUGUUUGAGCAUUUGCUGGAAAAUGCACUUCAGUUUGCUGAACCAGAAACUCACGGCUUUGUCUUGUUGUUUUCUUCCAUAUUCGGUUCCAAGCUUUGCUGAUUUCGUUAGAUUAUAGUUCCAGCAUGUUUCUUCUAAGUUUGGUUGCAUGAAUGUGCUUGAUUUGAAUAAAGAAUUGGCAUGAACAUGGUUGUAAGGGAAGAGAUUUGCUGAAGUUCUAAAAUGUUGCAACAAUUUAUUUAUUGGAAUUCAUUGCAGAAAUUUUUUUUUUUUUUCACUUUCGUUCGUAUGAAGGCUGCAUUAAUUUCAUGUUUUUUGAUUUGGGUCAACGAUUUCUGGUUUGAUGAACUUGAUUCGUGUGAUGGAAUGGAUGUAAUUGUAGCUGGAAUUGGCCGCAAGUUUUGUGAAAAGGCAACAAGUUUUUGUAGCUGCAGAAAAUUCUGUUUCUUACGUAGUUGCAUGCAUGAUCAAGAAGGGAAAAUUGUACUUUGUUCCCUCUAGUCUCUAGCUAUGCUCCAAAGGCCCAUUUAUGUGUUUCGUUCUUGCAAUUGGGUCCUAAAACAUUUACACUUUAACCCCCCAAGUUCCCCCUUGUCUUGGUAUGGUCCAAUUAGUUGAAUAAUUUAAUCACUUUUGUCAUUCUAGAAUCCUAAUUGCUCUUGGUAUUUUGACGUGAUUUUGGGUAAGAUGUUUAGUGAGUUUUAGGAUGCAUUUUGAGGUUCAAUCAGUUUAAUAGAUUUUUUUAGGCUUGGAUUUGUAUUCUAAUCACAUUUUGCAUUUGAGUUUAGUAGGUCUCAUUUUCAGCCAUUACUUGACCUUUUCUUUGCCUUCGGAUUUUUGAAGUUUCUAGAGGUACUUGAUUUGAGCUUGAAUGCUUGGUUAGUGUUCACCAUUGAGUCUUUGGUAGCAUUAAUGUUUCAAUUCAAUUGCUUGUUGGCCUUCAUUGGUUACCAUGUUUUGCUAAGGUGAUGUUCGAUGCAUGGAUUUGUGAACCUUGUGUCUAAAUGAGCUUGUGGUUGCCUUUUUUUUAAUUUCCCUAAGUAAGUUGAUUAAUUGACCUUUUCAUGCUCAUGAACCUUUUGAGUUCUAAAAUGUUUCAAAUGGUCUUGAUGGUUUGGUUAAGGGUUGCUUUUGGAUCCUUAGGUAGUUUUGCUAUUUCAGAAAUUUGAUCAAUAACUCACUCUUGCUUAGAAUUCAUGCAUUAUUUGAUCAUUUCUAAGUUGCAAAGUGAAAGAGGAUUAGAUGUUCGACGAAUUCUGAUUGUUAUUCUAUCAUUCCAUUGGUGCAUUAAUCCUUUCCUUAAAAUGGUUUUAGCCCAAAUUAGCUUCUUCUUUAGUGACCAUAGCCCAAGCUGAGUCUUGUUCACCUUACUAGCAUUACACACGGGGGGAAGGUACAACUUCUUUUAUCCCUUUUUGUCUCUCCUAUGUGAUCUUAUGUGUUAUGUGAAUAUGCCUGUCUACUUCGCUUUCCUUAUCUCCUUGCAUGCAUUUACUUGCUUUUACUUUUAUUUAAGUUUUAUGGGGUAUGUGUACACCUCUUGGCUUGUAAUAGAUAGGGCUCGGAGAGCAUCUGGUCCAUUUCCCCUUCCCCUUUAUGCUUUUAUGGGGUAUGUGUACACCUCUUGGCUUGUAAUAGAUAGGGCUCGGAGAGCAUCUGGUCCAUUUCCCCUUCCC
rnacentral:lncRNA from 1 species